UACAGGGGGUGCAACCGUUGCUCGGAAUCAUUGGGCGUAAAGCGCACGUAGGCGGUUCGUUAUGUCGGAUGUGAAAGCCCUUGGCUUAACCGAGGAAGUGCAUCCGAAACUGGCGAGCUAGAGUACUAAAGAGGAUCGCGGAAUUCCCGGUGUGGAGGUGAAAUUCGUAGAUAUCGGGAGGAACACCGGUGGCGAAGGCGGCGAUCUGGGUAGAUACUGACGCUGAGGUGCGAAAGCGUGGGGAGCAAACGGG
rnacentral:rRNA from 1 species